GGCCUGGGAGUGAGCGUCUGGCGUAGAGCAGCACACAAGACCACUAAGAAAGAAGAGAUCAAAACGCCCCAGGAGAGAUUUCUAACUUAGGAAUAUAAGGAAGAGAGGGAGAGACAAAGCGCUGAAGAAGCGAAGCUGGAAGCCAGAGCUCUGCCUGUACCAAGCUCCCCUCCUGCUAGCAUCUAAGUGGAUUGCACCUCCGCGGUAGGAAUAACAUGAAAGUCAAAACAACUGCACGUGUACACAAUCAAGAAUACCCAGAUAGGCCUGCCCUACUGUCGCCGUACUCCCAGAGAUGGGCCGUGGGCUGAAAAGGAGUACUCUGAGGUCAGAACUCCCACAACCUUUCAUCUGACCUGUCUUUUAUUCUUAAUGACCUCCACUGUAAGUCUUCCACAUUAUAACCUCCUUCCAUUUUUAGUUUGGAUGGGAGUGCCUUCAGAUGAAAAGUAAUGCCCUCAGUUCUUAAUGCUCAGAUCAAAGGGAAAGGGAAUGGCAAACAGAUGAUUUAGCUUCUUGGGUUAGAAGAGUCUCCGUAUGUCAAUCUGGUCGGUCACUUUUUUUUCUGGUUUUUACGAGACAGGGUUUCUCUGUAUUG